AUUGGCCUUACAUGCUCUUAAUGCUUAACAUUUCACACCAAUUCUCACAUUUCAAUUCAUUCAUUUCCUCUUCCUAACUUGUUUCAUUUCCCCUUUAACACAGAAACACAAACUAUUUGUUCAUCAUAUCAUAUACCCUUUUCAUUUUUCUUUUUUCUACAACAAGUGUAGUUUUUGUUUUCAUCUUCUUCUGCAUUCUCUACCAAAAAGUGGAGGAAGUGUUCUGUUACCACAAAGAACAAGGGGACAAGUGUUUUUUCGCAGAAUUAACGAUGAUGGGUCUGGGAAGGUUGGUAGGGACUCUAAAAUCCAAAAUAAGGUCUUUGAAACUGAGGAAACCUUAUGAUAAGAUGGAGAAGAGUGAGAGCAUGAGAGUGGAGAUAAGAAGCAGAAAAGCCAGAAAACUCAUUGAAGAGACCUUAAAAAUUGCUGAUUCACCUAAGUCCAGAACCUUCACUUUAUGAUGCUUAUGUAUUAUUGUGUUGGUAAAAACUCUUCAAUAAUUAAGUUUUUCUGCUAUUCAUAUACAUGAGUCUUUGAAUUUCAA